UAAAAUUGCCCCUGAGUUCACUGUAUUUUGCGGUUCUACAAUUCUGUUUCUUGACACUUUUAUCACAUUUAAUUCAACCAAAUUUAAUGCGGAAACCGUAGAGCUCUCUAUCAGUUUCAACCAUUUCAUUGCUAUAACCCUAGACGACCAAUCGUUCAAUCACGCUCUUCGAAACAACGAAGAAAUUCCACUGUCACUGACGAUUGUUCUUCCUUCACUCGAUCGAUCAUCCUAUUUUUUCUGCUACCACGAAACAGAUCGGUCCCAGAUGAUGGUGGUCACCAAACUUCGACUUCGUUUCCUGCUAAAAUUGAUGGUUUUGACGGCCUCUGGUUGAUCGAUUUGAGCAGGUGGAGCCAGAAGUUCGAUUGAUUAUUCGUGUUCAUGGGUGGCGGACUGCAUCAGCUUAUGUUGGUUAAUAUCUUAGGUUCAAACAGAAAGAGAAGAGACUAAAACACAACAUCACUGUUUUUAGACUUGGAUUAUCUUCAUGUAUUUUGUACGCUAGACCCUAAAAUCAAUGGUAUAAGUUCUCUAUAGAGAUACGGGUUUAACAAAUCCGAAUGACACAUGGGUGUUGCCAUACCUUCAGUUUAUUGUUGUAGAAAUUCGGUUCCAAUGUAUGUUAAAGUCUCUGCAGUUCACGUCUUCAUCUUUUUUGAUUCGCCUGCAAUUUAAGUACUACUACUGUAUCUUCUUCGGUUGAAGGAUCCAAUGGCCAGAAUUAAAGCGGAAGUUACAGAGUUUUGUUGCUGAUCAAAUCACUGAUUCUGAUACGACGUCAUCAUUUACGACUUGAUCUGCGGUCUAAACUCUACUUUCUGUGUAUGAAUGAAUAAUAAUCUUCGAUUUAUUCGGUUGUUAUUUGCAUAUAUGACUUGUUUAUUUCUUGUUUGACGAUAUCCAGAUGAUUGUUAUUCUUUUUUUAUUAUAUUACGUUUAGUUGUUUAAUAAUUGUUUUUUUUUGUAUUACGUUUAAUAAUUGUUUUUUGUAUUACGUUUGACACGACGAUGGCUAUGGAUUCCGGCAAUGGAAGAUGACAAGACAUCUUCUCGAGUUCUCGGUCCAAUGAGGACAGGGCCGAAUCACAUUGAUAUAAUCAUUGUUACCAACCCGCCCAUUCUACCACUUCUAUUUCCUUUGCAAUUUCCGUGCACGUUUGAGAAUACGUCACUUAUCUACUCAACCAUUGUUAGGUCUUCAACUUGACCCACUCUCAAACACGGAUAAAAUGGAAUCCGUGUAUUCAACAACUAAAUGUGGUCUUCUAGAGGAUUUGAAAAUCCCGACGCAAUGUCUUCUGAUAGAAAGCUGAUGAAUAAUAGCUCCAUGGUAUUCAGAGACACGAGCCUCUGAUCCAACAACCGGGCUUAAUCCUCAAAUGGUAAAUGAUAAUACUGCGUAUUCUUCGGAAGAACAGGAACACCUUGCACGCUUGAAAGCUCAAAAGGAGGAAAUCCAGUAUCUUGGACAACAAAUUACCUUAGCAAGUGUCAGGGAACGGCAAUUAUUGAACGAAAAAUACACGUUGGAAAAGAAGUUUUCUGAGCUACGGCUGGUUUGUCCAACCGUUGCUUCAUCAACAGUGGUUGCUAAAACGGUUGCUAUGGAUUCAAACCGGUUGAAACUGCUUGUUUUGGAAUCUGAUAAGAUGGAAGCCUCGGCCAAACAUUUACCGAUCAAGAAAAGGAGAAUCGUAUUCAUGGAUUCGUCACCGUCGCUUAACAACGCUUCAUCCUCACAAGGGACUGAAAGUGUUGCGCAAGAUGCUAAUGCGAAAGCAGACGUGAAUUGCCUGCCUGCUGCAUCGUUGACGGUUGCUGACUUGCAUCAAAGUGAGAGUAAUGAUAGUAAACUGGAUGUACACAAGUGUGUGACGUAUAGUAGGAAACGUAAUGACCUUGAAGAUAUAAGUGGCACAUCUAUAGCGAGAAUAUGUCUACUAAUGAAACUGCCAUCAAUAUGUUAACGGUUGCUGAAUCCAGGUUCAUAUUUAAAAAAAAAUAUAUUCACUGCCAAUAAGUUUUGAUUCAAACAAGCUGCUGUGUAUACAUGUUAACAGCUGCUGAAUCCAGGUUCACA
rnacentral:lncRNA from 1 species